ACACAAAGCACCUGGGGAUUUUGUUAAAAUGCAGAUUGUAGUUCAGCAGGUCAGGGGUGGGGCCUGAGAUUCUGUAUUUCUAAUAAACUCCCAGGUGAUGAUGAU
rnacentral:pre_miRNA from 1 species